rnacentral:rRNA from 1 species
AGGGAAUAGAUACCCUGGUAGUCCUGGCCCUAAACGAUGAAUGCUUGGUGUGGCGGGUAUCGAUCCCUGCCGUGCCGAAAGCUAACGCAUUAAGCAUUCCGCCUGGGGAGUACGGUCGCAAGGCUAGAAAACUCAAAGGAAUUGACGGGGGCCCGCACAAGCGGUGGAGCGAUGUGGUUUAAUUCGACGCAACGCGAAGAACCUUACCCAGGCUUGAACUGCAGAUGACAUUCUACGAAAGUAGACUCCCGCAAGGGCAUCUGUAGAGGUGCUGCAUGGCUGUCGUCAGCUCGUGUCGUGAGAUGUUGGGUUUAAGUCCCGCAACGAGCGCAACCCUUGUCUUCUGUUGCCAUCGGGUUAUGCCGGGCACUCUGAAGAGACUGCCGGUGACAAACCGGAGGAAGGUGGGGAUGACGUCAAGUCAGCAUGGCCUUUAUGUCUGGGGCCACACACGUGCUACAAUGGCAGGUACAAACCGUCGCGAGACCGCAAGGUGGAG